UUCUGUUGUAGUUGGAUCUUUUUUUGCUAUCCGAGAAAUGGAAGAAGCUUGUAGAGAAAGCACGGUCCAAGCAACUUUAAUCCCAUGAGUACAACUCAGGCAUCCAGAUAUGAAGAGGCAUGCAGAAAAUUGCUACAUUUUGACCGUGUAGAAAGUGUGCAAUUACUCUCCUGACAGUGGGAUCAAAUCUUUGAUUGUUGUUAACUUCGAAAGCUCAAGCUCUUCAAAGAAGGAUGAUCCCCUAUGUGUUGCUGCUAGACAAGAUGGGAAGAUAUUAGUCUCUAGUCUGUGGGUUGAUCACAGUUUUGAUGUCGGAGCGCCUGUGGAUACAACCUCGGUCACGAUGAUUAUUUAACUCGCAUGAAGAUUGUGAAAGAGAUUCAUAAAAACAAUGAAGUUUUGAGUUU
rnacentral:lncRNA from 1 species